rnacentral:rRNA from 1 species
GACGAACCGUGCGAACGUUGUUCGGAAUUACUGGGCUUAAAGGGUGCGUAGGCGGCGCGGAAAGUUGGGUGUGAAAUCCCUCGGCUUAACCGAGGAACUGCGCCCAAAACUACCGUGCUUGAGGGAGAUAGAGGUGAGCGGAACUUAGGGUGGAGCGGUGAAAUGCGUUGAUAUCCUAAGGAACACCGGUGGCGAAAGCGGCUCACUGGAUCUCUUCUGACGCUGAGGCACGAAAGCUAGGGUAGCAAACGGG